CAGCAGCCACGGUAAUACGAAGGGGGCUAGCGUUGUUCGGAUUUACUGGGCGUAAAGCGCACGUAGGCGGAUCGAUCAGUCAGGGGUGAAAUCCUGGAGCUCAACUCCAGAACUGCCUUUGAUACUGUCGAUCUCGAGUCCGGAAGAGGUGAGUGGAACUCCUAGUGUAGAGGUGGAAUUCGUAGAUAUUAGGAAGAACACCAGUGGCGAAGGCGGCUCACUGGUCCGGUACUGACGCUGAGGUGCGAAAGCGUGGGGAGCAAACAGGAUUAGAUACCCCCGUAGUCCCUGUCUCUUAUAA
rnacentral:rRNA from 1 species